rnacentral:rRNA from 1 species
GGUUAAGCGACUAAGCGUACACGGUGGAUGCCCUGGCAGUCAGAGGCGAUGAAGGACGUGCUAAUCUGCGAUAAGCGUCGGUAAGGUGAUAUGAACCGUUAUAACCGGCGAUUUCCGAAUGGGGAAACCCAGUGUGUUUCGACACACUAUCAUUAACUGAAUCCAUAGGUUAAUGAGGCGAACCGGGGGAACUGAAACAUCUAAGUACCCCGAGGAAAAGAAAUCAACCGAGAUUCCCCCAGUAGCGGCGAGCGAACGGGGAGCAGCCCAGAGCCUGAAUCAGUGUGUGUGUUAGUGGAAGCGUCUGGAAAGGCGCGCGAUACAGGGUGACAGCCCCGUACACAAAAAUGCACAUGCUGUGAGCUCGAUGAGUAGGGCGGGACACGUGGUAUCCUGUCUGAAUAUGGGGGGACCAUCCUCCAAGGCUAAAUACUCCUGACUGACCGAUAGUGAACCAGUACCGUGAGGGAAAGGCGAAAAGAACCCCGGCGAGGGGAGUGAAAAAGAACCUGAAACCGUGUACGUACAAGCAGUGGGAGCACGCUUAGGCGUGUGACUGCGUACCUUUUGUAUAAUGGGUCAGCGACUUAUAUUCUGUAGCAAGGUUAACCGAAUAGGGGAGCCGAAGGGAAACCGAGUCUUAACUGGGCGUUAAGUUGCAGGGUAUAGACCCGAAACCCGGUGAUCUAGCCAUGGGCAGGUUGAAGGUUGGGUAACACUAACUGGAGGACCGAACCGACUAAUGUUGAAAAAUUAGCGGAUGACUUGUGGCUGGGGGUGAAAGGCCAAUCAAACCGGGAGAUAGCUGGUUCUCCCCGAAAGCUAUUUAGGUAGCGCCUCGUGAAUUCAUCUCCGGGGGUAGAGCACUGUUUCGGCAAGGGGGUCAUCCCGACUUACCAACCCGAUGCAAACUGCGAAUACCGGAGAAUGUUAUCACGGGAGACACACGGCGGGUGCUAACGUCCGUCGUGAAGAGGGAAACAACCCAGACCGCCAGCUAAGGUCCCAAAGUCAUGGUUAAGUGGGAAACGAUGUGGGAAGGCCCAGACAGCCAGGAUGUUGGCUUAGAAGCAGCCAUCAUUUAAAGAAGCGUAAUAGCUCACUGGUCGAGUCGGCCUGCGCGGAAGAUGUAACGGGGCUAAACCAUGCACCGAAGCUGCGGCAGCGACGCUUAUGCGUUGUUGGGUAGGGGAGCGUUCUGUAAGCCUGUGAAGGUGUGCUGUGAGGCAUGCUGGAGGUAUCAGAAGUGCGAAUGCUGACAUAAGUAACGAUAAAGCGGGUGAAAAGCCCGCUCGCCGGAAGACCAAGGGUUCCUGUCCAACGUUAAUCGGGGCAGGGUGAGUCGACCCCUAAGGCGAGGCCGAAAGGCGUAGUCGAUGGGAAACAGGUUAAUAUUCCUGUACUUGGUGUUACUGCGAAGGGGGGACGGAGAAGGCUAUGUUGGCCGGGCGACGGUUGUCCCGGUUUAAGCGUGUAGGCUGGUUUUCCAGGCAAAUCCGGAAAAUCAAGGCUGAGGCGUGAUGACGAGGCACUACGGUGCUGAAGCAACAAAUGCCCUGCUUCCAGGAAAAGCCUCUAAGCAUCAGGUAACAUCAAAUCGUACCCCAAACCGACACAGGUGGUCAGGUAGAGAAUACCAAGGCGCUUGAGAGAACUCGGGUGAAGGAACUAGGCAAAAUGGUGCCGUAACUUCGGGAGAAGGCACGCUGAUAUGUAGGUGAAGUCCCUCGCGGAUGGAGCUGAAAUCAGUCGAAGAUACCAGCUGGCUGCAACUGUUUAUUAAAAACACAGCACUGUGCAAACACGAAAGUGGACGUAUACGGUGUGACGCCUGCCCGGUGCCGGAAGGUUAAUUGAUGGGGUUAGCCGCAAGGCGAAGCUCUUGAUCGAAGCCCCGGUAAACAGCGGCCGUAACUAUAACGGUCCUAAGGUAGCGAAAUUCCUUGUCGGGUAAGUUCCGACCUGCACGAAUGGCGUAAUGAUGGCCAGGCUGUCUCCACCCGAGACUCAGUGAAAUUGAACUCGCUGUGAAGAUGCAGUGUACCCGCGGCAAGACGGAAAGACCCCGUGAACCUUUACUAUAGCUUGACACUGAACAUUGAGCCUUGAUGUGUAGGAUAGGUGGGAGGCUUAGAAGUGUGGACGCCAGUCUGCAUGGAGCCGACCUUGAAAUACCACCCUUUAAUGUUUGAUGUUCUAACGUUGACCCGUAAUCCGGGUUGCGGACAGUGUCUGGUGGGUAGUUUGACUGGGGCGGUCUCCUCCUAAAGAGUAACGGAGGAGCACGAAGGUUGGCUAAUCCUGGUCGGACAUCAGGAGGUUAGUGCAAUGGCAUAAGCCAGCUUGACUGCGAGCGUGACGGCGCGAGCAGGUGCGAAAGCAGGUCAUAGUGAUCCGGUGGUUCUGAAUGGAAGGGCCAUCGCUCAACGGAUAAAAGGUACUCCGGGGAUAACAGGCUGAUACCGCCCAAGAGUUCAUAUCGACGGCGGUGUUUGGCACCUCGAUGUCGGCUCAUCACAUCCUGGGGCUGAAGUAGGUCCCAAGGGUAUGGCUGUUCGCCAUUUAAAGUGGUACGCGAGCUGGGUUUAGAACGUCGUGAGACAGUUCGGUCCCUAUCUGCCGUGGGCGCUGGAGAACUGAGGGGGGCUGCUCCUAGUACGAGAGGACCGGAGUGGACGCAUCACUGGUGUUCGGGUUGUCAUGCCAAUGGCACUGCCCGGUAGCUAAAUGCGGAAGAGAUAAGUGCUGAAAGCAUCUAAGCACGAAACUUGCCCCGAGAUGAGUUCUCCCUGACUCCUUGAGAGUCCUGAAGGAACGUUGAAGACGACGACGUUGAUAGGCCGGGUGUGUAAGCGCAGCGAUGCGUUGAGCUAACCGGUACUAAUGAACCGUGAGGCUUAACCUU